GGGGGAUAACGCGGCGAAAGUCGCGCUAAUACCGCAUACGCCCUGAGGGGGAAAGCGGGGGAUCGCAAGACCUCGCGUUAUUCGAGCGGCCGACGUCUGAUUAGCUAGUUGGUGGGGUAAAGGCCCACCAAGGCGACGAUCAGUAGCGGGUCUGAGAGGAUGAUCCGACACACUGGGACUGAGACACGGACCAGACUCCUAUGGGAGGCAGCAGUGGGGAAUUUUGGACACUGGGGGCAACCCUGAUCCAGACAUUCCGCGUGAGUGAAGAAAGCCUACGGGUUGUAAAGCUCUUACAGCUGGAACGAAACGGUGCGCUCUAACAUAGCGUGCUAAUGACGGUACCAGCAGAAGAAUCACCGGCUAACUACGUGCCAGCAGCCGCGGUAAUACGUUAGGGUGCGAAGCUUUAAUCGGAAUUACUGGGGCGUAAAGCGUGCGCAGUCGGAUUGUUAAGCAAGACGUGAAAUCCCCGGGCUUAACCUGGGAAUGUCGUUUUGAACUGGCAGUCUAGAGUGCGUCAGAGGGGGGUGGAAUUCCACGUGUAGCAGUGAAAUGCGUAGAGAUGUGGAGGAACACCGAUGGCGAAGGCAGCCCCCUGGGAUGACACUGACGCUCAUGUACGAAAGCGUGGGUAGCAAACAGGAUUAGAUACCCUGGUAGUCCACGCCCUAAACGAUGUCAACUGGUUGUUGGGGGAGUGAAAUCCCUUAGUAACGAAGCUAACGCGUGAAGUUGACCGCCUGGGGAGUACGGUCGCAAGAUUAAACUCAAAGGAAUUGACGGGGACCCGCACAAGCGGUGGAUGAUGUGGAUUAAUUCGAUGCAACGCGAAAAACCCUACCUACCCUUGACAUGUC
rnacentral:rRNA from 1 species